rnacentral:rRNA from 1 species
AGAAUCAACGCUGGCGGCGUGCCUAACACAUGCAAGUCGAACGAGAAAGGGUAGCAAUACCUGAGUAAAGUGGCGCACGGGUGAGUAACACGUGACUAACCUACCCUGGAGUGGGGGAUAACUGAGGGAAACCUUAGCUAAUACCGCAUAAUACCUACGGGUCAAAGGAGCAAUUCGCUUCAGGAGGGGGUCGCGGCCGAUUAGUUAGUUGGCGGGGUAAUGGCCCACCAAGACAGUGAUCGGUAU